CUGGGAUGUGAACUACAGUAAUGGUGUAUUAAAAAUUUCAAUUGAGAAGUAUGGUGUUUAUGUAUUAAAUAAACAGACUCCAAAUAGGCAAAUUUGGUUAUCAUCUCCUAUUAGUGUCUGUGAAAGGAUUACAUAUCACUUUACGUUUCAGCUCGGACUAUGGAUCAACAUUUGUGAACUUUGAAAUUAAAUAUUUUCGCACCUCUUACAGCUACAAUAAUAUUAAAAUACAUUUUUACAGUGGACCUAAAAGGUAUGACUACAUAAAUGGAACAUGGAUCUAUAAACAUGAUGAGAGAGCACUACAUGAUCUGCUCAGCACUGAACUCAGUGAUAUAUUAAAG